GCUCAUUUCCAAGUCUGCAAAACAAUCGUACGAUGAUGACAAUCCGAUGAUCCUUCGAAAAUAUUUGAACAAUUUCGAGGGGAAAAAAAAAAAAAGAAAAAAAAGAGAACAAGAAAAAAAGAAGGAAAGAAAAGGGUGCCGAAAACGCUCGAUAUGAACGCGCAUUUCUCGGAGUUGCGCAAUGUUAUUGACACUAUCGUAGUAGAGGAUCCAUUUGUGUAACGCAUUUAUCCAAGUGUUCCAUAUGCAUCGACUUGCAAAAUUACUACCAUUCGCGAAAAUCCAGAAAAGAGAAGGGGAUAGGUAGAGAGAGAGAGAGAGA